rnacentral:rRNA from 1 species
UACGGAGGGUGCAAACGUUGCUCGGAAUCAUUGGGCGUAAAGCGCACGUAGGCGGCCUGUUAAGUUGGGUGUGAAAGCCCUCGGCUCAACCGAGGAAGUGCACUCAAAACUGGCGGGCUUGAAUAUGGAAGAGGGUCGCGGAAUUCCCGGUGUAGAGGUGAAAUUCGUAGAUAUCGGGAGGAACACCAGUGGCGAAGGCGGCGACCUGGGCCAAUAUUGACGCUGAGGUGCGAAAGCGUGGGGAGCAAACAGG